AUGCUCCCGCAGGAGCCUUUCCAUAUUUACCCACUGCCGCAGCAGUGUCAGCUCCCGCAGGAGCCUUUCUGUAUUUCCUCACUGCUGCAGCAGUGUCUGCUCCCACAGGAGCCUUUUUUCCGUAUUUCCUCACUGCCGCAGCAGUAUCCACUCCCGCAGGAGCCUUUCCUGUCUUUCCCUACUGCCGCAGCAGUGCCCGCUCCCCACAGGAGCCUUUCCAUAUUUCCCCAUUGCCACAGCAGUGCCCGCUCCCGCAGGAGCUCUUCCAUAUUUCCCCACUGCCGCAGCAGUGCCCGCUCACCACAGGAGCCUUUCCAUAUUUCCCCAUUGCCACAGCAGUGCCCGCUCCCGCAGGAGCCUUUCCAUAUUUCGCCACUGCCACAGCAGUGUAUGCUCCCGCAGGAGCCUUUCUGUAUUUUCUCCCUGCCGCAGCAGUGUCUGCUCCCGCAGGAGCCUUUCCGUAUUUCCCCACUGCCGCAGCUGUGUCAGCUCCCGCAGGAGCCUUUCUGUAUUUUCUCACUGCCGCAGCAGUGUCUGCUCCCGCAGGAGCCUUUAUUUUGUAUUUCCUCACUGCCGCAGCAGUAUCAGCCCCCGCAGGAGCCUUUCCUGUCUUUCCCUACUGCUGUAGCAGUGCCCGCUCCCGCAGGAGCUCUUCCAUAUUUCCCCACUGCCACAGCAGUUCCCACUCCCGCAGGAGCCUUGCCUAAAUUCCCUCACUGCCACAGCAGUUCCUGCUCCAGCAGGAGCCUUCAUUUUUAUUUGAAUCUGCAGCAGUGCUCGCUUCCGCAGAAGCCAUUUUUUCUUUUCAGAUGCCACAGCAGCGGCCGCUUCCACAGAAGCCAAUUUCUCUUUUCAGAUGCCGUAGCAAUUCCCACAGGAGUUUUCUUUUCAGAUGCUGCAGCAGUAUCUGCUCCCGCAGGAGCUCUUCCGUAUUUCCGCAGCAGUCCCCGCUCCCGCAGGAGCUAUUCCAUUAUUUUCCCAUUUUCCAUUAUUGCCAUAGCAAUGCUCGCUUCUGCAGAAGAUAUUUUCUCUUUUCAGAUGCCGUAG
ensembl:lncRNA